rnacentral:lncRNA from 1 species
GUGACCUGGAGGCUUUAGUCUCUUCGGCAGGAAUAUUUCACUUGUCUUCUUGAAGACUUGAUGGCAUCAUUGUACAGUAGCUGAUUGGGAAGUUCUGCUCUUCAAGUCAGUUGCUUCCUCGGGAUGGGGAGAUGGGAAAAUGAUCAUUUCAGGAACUGUGAAGUGUUAAAGAGAAAGUAUAUUAGAACUAUUAUGAAGUCACAGGAGAAGCCAUAUGAGUUGUCAGUGGUUGCUGUCUUUGCUACCCUUUCUUAAUGAUGCUGGCUCCCAUAUCUCAGCUUCAACUAGAGUCCUUUCAUAGAAUUGUCCCUCUCCCUCUCCCUCCCCCUCCCUCCCCCUCCCCCUCCCCCUCUCCCCACGGUCUCCCUCUCCCUCUCUUUCCACGGUCUCCCUCUGAUGCCAAGAUGAAGCUGGACUGUACUGCUGCCUUCUCGGCUCACUGCAACCUCCCUGCCUGAUUCUCCUGCCUCAGCCUGCCCAGUGCCUGGGA